rnacentral:rRNA from 1 species
AAACUUUACAAUGCAGGAAACUGUGAUAAGGAAACACCGAGUGCUCACAUCAAAUGUGGGCUGUCCAUAUGCUUAAACCGCAUAUGUUAGCAAGGGCCGGGCAAUACCGGUGCCAGCCGCCGCGGUAAUACCGGUGGCCCGAGUGGUAGCCGCUUUUAUUUGGUCUAAAGGGUCCGUAGCCGGUCCGGUCAGUCCAUUGGUAAAUUCGAAUGCUCAACAUUCGAUCUUUCAGUGGAUACUUCCGGACUUGGAACUGGGAGAGGUAAGAGGUACUGUAGGGGUAGGAGUGAAAUCUUGUAAUCCCUAUGAGACCACCUGUGGCGAAGGCGUCUUACCGGAACGGGUUCGACGGUGAGGGACGAAAGCCGGGGGCACGAACCGGA